GUGGGGAAUUUUGGACAAUGGGCGCAAGCCUGAUCCAGCAAUGCCGCGUGCAGGAAGAAGGCCUUCGGGUUGUAAACUGCUUUUGUACGGAACGAAACGGUCCUGGUUAAUACCUGGGGCUAAUGACGGUACCGUAAGAAUAAGCACCGGCUAACUACGUGCCAGCAGCCGCGGUAAUACGUAGGGUGCGAGCGUUAAUCGGAAUUACUGGGCGUAAAGCGUGCGCAGGCGGUGCUGUAAGACAGGCGUGAAAUCCCCGGGCUUAACCUGGGAAUUGCGCUUGUGACUGCAGUGCUGGAGUGCGGCAGAGGGGGAUGGAAUUCCGCGUGUAGCAGUGAAAUGCGUAGAUAUGCGGAGGAACACCGAUGGCGAAGGCAAUCCCCUGGGCCUGCACUGACGCUCAUGCACGAAAGCGUGGGGAGCAAACAGGAUUAGAUACCCCAGUAGUCC
rnacentral:rRNA from 1 species